GGCAUAAUGAACACGACAGCUGGAAACUGACUGCAAUAGCCAGAAAACAGAAAACAGAACGUUUCCCACAUGCACUCAAAGCACUUCAACCAAACAGAUCAGUCCAUGCUCUCUUCUUUGUAAAUCACUGGUGCUCCCACUCCUUGAUUACUGUAGCAGUGUGUGGGACCCCUCAUCUUCUAGUGCUAUCAAUCAGCUGGAGCCUGUUUAGAAGUUCGCAACUAGAUCGACUUGAGAUUUGUACUAAACGCUGGUCAAGACUGUCUCUUAUCGGUCAUUUUUUUUUGUAAAUAUGUUGUUCCACUUUGGAAAUUAAAUAAUGUACUUAGUUCGCCUGUUUUCUUUACUUUCCUGUUUGCUCACUUGGUUUUUUUUUGGAUUAAUUGUCCUUAUACUGUUAUGUCUGUACGGUAUAGUGCAACAUUUUUGAGGCACUUAAAUUUCGUGGAAUGGCCUCUAAAAGCAUUUCGUGGGUCACUGUUUACCGAAACACUCCCAGGCUACGCCUUCAAUCUUCGCACAUUAUAUAAGUUUACAGAUAAAGAUUCGUGUAGCAUUGCUGCUCAUGAAAACAGCGAAUUUUUCGUGCUAUACGGUAUAAUUAUGCCACUGUUAUUUUUCUUGUUGUUUUGGUUAGGAUUACCUUAAUAUUAACUUUCACUUGCUAUUAUUUCAGGUGCUAUUAUUUUGGUAUGCUCCUUAAUAUGCUCUAAAAAAAUAAAUAAAAACAACUGGUGGUAGGAAAUAUAGACUAACUGUAAAGCAGUAGCUAGAGUGAUAGAUUUUGCCAAAAAGUGCAGUAAAAAAAAAUGUUGAAAGGAAAUUAACACGGAAGUACAUGUAAUAUGUUAUAUACAUUAAUUUCUGUUCGUAAUGACCUUUCUUGUCAACCAUAACUGUUUGGUAUUUCAUAUCGUCGUAGAUGUUUGAAGGCACAACGUGGAAAUGAGCUAUCGAUUACUUCUUGACAGGCCUUUAUCUAUGGUUUGACUGAUGUGUGAGUAUGUGUUCUAAAACAAAUCAUUUCUUUGCAUGAACUUUCUAACCAAGCUAUCUGGGUUUACAGAUAGAAUAAGGGACGUCGCUUUCAACGGAAUUACAUGGGUGGAUACAGCGACAAAAUCCACUUCUCGUUUCGCGAGAAAGUUUUGUCCUCUACCUCUUAAUUUUUCUUCUUUCUCCGUUUUUGUAUGCACGCUGCUGAGGAUUAUUACUUGGACCACUUGCUUCUACGUCGAUCACUCCAUUUUAAUGCUAAACAAUUUAAGUGGACAAUCUUUUUGUUCAAGAUUUUGGAUAGGGUUUGACUAAUGUGUUAUUGCUCUCAACACCAGUUCGUUCUAUGAAUUUUCGUACCCAUCCCAUCUGAUGCUUUAAAAUUAGUCAAGGUAGAUUCAUGCACUGUACAAACAACUCGUCCUUUCUCCACACAACAAGGUCACAAUACAUAUACUGAACAUUAUUUAAUUUGUCGUCAGCCUGAAGCCCUCCCUCCACCCUUUAAGGACCCUCUCUUUUAAAGACGACUAUACCGAGACAAAAUCUGUGGGUAUGAUAAACGUCCUUCAUGAAUCAACAAAUUAUCCGCCUGAUCACCAUCUGUAUUUACAUUGUAAUAAUUGACUCCCUUGAAGACUUUGAAUGUCAACAUGCAGUUUCUUCCUUGGUUGUCCCCAGGCAAGUUUUGACAAUUCUUUCUUCAAGGUAGCACUCUUACUGAUGUGUAUGUGGGACUGACUGAUGAGCAGGCACUUAGGCUAGCCAUGCAUGCAGGAGCAACUCGCUUUGUGCACAAGAUGGACGUACUCAUCGAGAUUUGGUAAGUUAAUCAAGAGGGGUUAAUCAAUACGCCCAAAAUUAUACGUAAUAAUACACAACCAUAUAAUUAUUAAUUAUUUUAUGGCACAUGUACGUAUAGGUAUAGAGCUUGUCAACACAAGUCCUAGGAAUAACAUUCAGCGACUCCCCAAAAAACACAUGAUUGUGUAUGCAGAAAUGUAAUUGCAGUUACUAUUUUGGAAAUCCAUCAGAUCUUUCUGUGUGGAAAAAUGAAUAGCUCGCCCAGAUCGAAAUUGUUGGUCUUCGAGGAUUUCUUGCUUCUGCUCUUCUCCACAGCAAAAGGCAGACCAGAAACAGUAUGUAUUAAAUAUGCAAGUGCGUAAGUAUAGAUAAUGUUAAUGGAAGUUCAAGUUUGUUUGGGAGGUGUGACUGUUACUGCGAGGCCAGCGUGGUAUGGUCAGGGUCCUGAGAAUCUGAUGAAUGCAUAUACUUUAUUUUGGCUCACCAUAUGGCGGUGUUCCAAUGAGCUGGCUCUGCUCAGCUGAAGGUGAUUCUGGCACUGUAAAGAGAAUAAGUACUACCGCUUGACCAAGUGGGGUGAGUUACGUACCAGUCACUACCUCCUCAUCCAAUAUAUGGGCCCAUACAUCUGUGUUUAUGGUCCAUAAACAUUCCUGACCCAAUCUGCGAAGGCCUUUGGCUUUUGAUUGAUACAGCAUACGUACUUCAGCAUAAAUUAUUGGAAGUUUGUUUGGGAGUGCCACUGUGACUGUGAGGCCAGCGUGGUAUGUCAGAGUCCUGAGAGUCUAUAGAUAGAUCUGAAUGUUUUACUUUGUUUUGGCUCACCAUAUAGUGGUGUUUCAGUAAGCUGGCUCUGCUCAGCUGAAGGUGAUUCUGGCACUGUAAGGAGCUACUGCUUGACCAAGUGGGGUGAGCUACGUACCAGUCACUACCUCAUCGGCCCAUACAUCUGUGUUUAUGGAACUUGUGGUCCCACCUGACCCAAUCUGCGAAAAGUUGCCUUUGGCUUUCGAUUGGGUUUUCCCUCACAAAUCACAUACUUCCUCUGUAUAUACAUAUACAGAUAGUUCUCUGUGUACUAAAUGCAAGUACUCACUAGGAGUGCCAGGCUUUUCAUGAAGUUCUUUCAAUUUCAUCGCCCAUAGGGGCCUUCAGUGUUCUGACUGUCUCCUUGGCCAGAUCACUACAUCUCUUCCAAGGGAAAUUUCUGUAGGGUUGGUGAUCUAGGACUUACGCGACCAAUACUUUUGUUACAGCCACAGACAAUUAUUUGAUGAUAAAUUGUACCUUGCGUCUCUCGCCAAUGCGCAUGUCACCUCAACCUCUUCUUUGCCCAUUUUAAUGUUGCAGCCAGAAUAUCUGGAUCUGCUGCAUCAUCUGUGUCCAUGGCUGCUGUCAUUUGUGCCUUGAUUGAUGGGUCUCCCACUUGCCUACUCUCAGACAUCAAAAAGAGCUUUGCCAAUUUGGAACCCAAGGAUGCCUGCAAUUGUAAAAUUGAUGUACAAUUUAUGAGAAUUUGUCCAUGUGUCCACACCUUACGAUGUGUUCUCCACAGCAAAACGUGGGUGCAUGUUCUUUUCAAUCGUAUAGCCCGGUAUUAAUUUUUUUGUUCCUCUCGAACCUGCCUAAGAUUUUCACUGAUUUCCUUCAAAACUUCUUACCUUAAAUAAACAUUCUCAGUGAUUUACAGUGAGGAUAAGUAGAGUGGUUGUGUUGCGGGUGAGCCUCAGUUGUCAGUUGUUUUUUUUAACGGUAUAUUCCGCCAUUGACCUUUGUCAGAGACAUCUCCCUCUGUAUACACACAAAUGCCGUCACGUAUAAUUAUUGGAACAAGGGAAUUUGUAUACCUUUCUGUCUUGAAAGACUUUUGUAGAACAAUCAAAAUGUAACCGUUUACUUAAGUGGUCAGUGCUUUCUCGACUGUAGUGAGCUGGAGUUUCCGAUGUCGAUUAAUACCAACCUUUUCCUACAAGUGUACACUGAUAUCAAUGUGUAGUGUGUAAUUGGACCACCACUGUGUAUUUAAAAUUGAUUUGCUUUGGCACUACUGUAUAUGAAUAGUAACUCACUUAUCUUUGUUUUUGGCUACAGGCAAACUGGACACCUUAUUAACUAAUUUGUAUUUAUGCCUUACUUUGGAAGUGCUUGGGAUAUCCUUUUUUGUCAUUGACAUACAGCUGCAAUACCCCCAGUAUGCGCAUGCUUAUUAAAACAUUAGGCUCUGGAGCGCCUCAUGCAUGCACACCAGACAUAAUAAGUAUUUUCUUUUGCACACAAAAAUAGGCAAGUAGUCAUACAUACUGAAAGACAGGUCCAGGCAAACAGCCUGUAAUCAAGACGUUUGGCCUGUAGAUCAUGCCGUAAACAGGACGUGGGCUAACGUCCUAUUUACAGCCUGUGAGAACGGCCUGUACACAGGACAUGGGUGGGCUACGUCCUGAUACGGGUCUGUUAUCUAACAGCCUGAAACGGACCGGACUCAUGGAUUUUUGGCUGUAUAUACAGUACAGAAAUGAUAAACGAAGCUGUAGCUGCAUGAUAAUAAUCAGUUUUGGUUCAUAACAUGGUAGGGUUCACUAUGCAGUAACUGUUCUUGUCUCUUCGAGGAACACUGAGAGUUAUGAUUUUAACUGUUCCGGGUCCAUCCGGCCUGGCUUCUGUUUCUAUGCUACAGCCAUGCAUAUAUUAAAAUAAUUUACUGCCCAUUCAGUAGACUCUUGUGUCUUUUUGGGAACGAUAGUGUAGCAAGCUUGCUGUUCCUUGUUAGCUAGCCGUAUACAGAACCGAGAAGCUUGGGCUGGGGGCUGGGGCUCAAGUGCAGGUUUUUUUGGCAAAAUAUUGUAUAUAUACGACGGUAAACUUCAAGUUAAGAUAGUACAUAGUUUACAAAGUCAGUAAACUUAGCGGUUCUUUGUAUUCCUUUUACAUCUGGCAGCUCAAGAAGUAAUUCUUGAAAAAAAGUAAAAACAUCCAUGCCGCCACAGGUUUGGGGUAGCUGACGUAGUAGCACAACGGUAAAUUCUGGCACUUAAAAAAAAGAAGUUUUCCUUGUGUGGAGGAGUUCUCGGUUUUGCUGGUGAAAAUAACCAAACGUGUUUCCGUAAACGAGUUCAUUUUCAAUAUAAUUAUCAGCAAUAUACUGAUUCCAUGCUGCAUGUGUGUGCAUGGCUGGGAAUUCCUCUUCUGCUCUGUGAAUUAAUUAAUGUAUAAUUAUAAUUGGUGAUCGUACUUCAGAAUCCUGUGUUGUAGUGUCCCAAAUUCCGAGGGCUUGUAGCAGAACUCGAAAACAAGAUUGCAGUGAUUGCCAAGUCAACACAUUGUCAUGUUCAAUAGCGCCUACGCUUGCCUGUAUGAUUUGUUCGACUCUGAUUAAUUAUUGCGCUCUCCUAUUUACACAAAAACUGUACUUUUCAUUGCUAGCAUCAAUGACUUGCAGUCUGCUGUGGUUUUGUCGUUUGAUGGCAACUUGAUUAUUCUACUAUUGGUAUUUGCUCUUGCUGUUCUGAUCUGUUUCGUUUUUACGUGAUAGCACGAGGCUAGUAAGAACAGUAUCUACCUGGGAUAGAAGUAAUAUAGCAAAUUAUAAUUAUAUCGCUAGAUGCAUAGUGCAGGUAAAAGGGUGCUAACAAUUUUUGAAACUGAGUGCCCUGAUAACGUCCUCAGGCAAUGUAUUCUCAGUGGUGGAUAACGUUAAUGAAGUAGGCACCAACGGGGUCAGGGUUUCAUCUAGGGUUAAAAGUGUGAUGUCAGGUUUACCCCUAGGUGAGUUUUUUUAUUUGUUUGUGACCUAUACAAAAACUUCUAACCUGGUAUGCGGUAAAAAAUUAUUUGUGGCAAAUCAUAAGCUUCGCUGCCGGGCUUGCACGUUGGCUCUAAAGCUAGUAUCCAGAUGCUGAUCAUUCCGAAGCACGGCACAUUCCAUAGGCAAUGGCACUAUGGUCGGCCAGACAAUGCAUCGACAUGCUGUUGGUACACCUCCUACUCCAAAAACUGUGUAAGAAAAGAAGGCAUGAGAUAAAGUCAGUUAUUUUGACCACCUGCAUGAUUUUUGAGGAGAGAGAGGAGUGAGAUUAGUCUGUAGUUUGAGUUAAUUUGUUGACCUCUAUGCAGUAGAAAAAAAGCAGGAAGUUUAGUUGCCUUGUAAGGAUACGGAUCUAAGUUAGGUCGACAAAAGGAUGCGACUUUUUAGGGGGGAUAGCUUGUGGAAGAAAUCCUGCAGAGAAUUGUUUGUUAGUGAAAGAGUGUAAGAAGCGAGCUUUGAGGAGUGUGAUAUCAUUCUAAACUUUUUGUGCUUUGAUCAGUUGCAAGGUGUCUGGCGGUUUUGUGUUUCUUGCAAGCUAUGGUAAUGUUAUGUAUAGGGAGGGUACAGUUCACAAUCUUUGAGGGGAUAUAAUAAUGGAGUCAGCAGACAUAUUAAAUUAUAGGCUAGUAAAUCCACAUUUUACAUUUUUUUUGUGUUUUGGGCAGGAGGAACCAAAACAAAGAGGUGAUCAUAAAAGAUAGAUGUGGAGGAGGUUGACUGUGUGGACUUGGAUAUAUGUUGCGUUUUAUUAACGCCUAGACAUGAUUUCGAGGUGCGUCAAUGUGUUAACAUCCAUCCCCCAGCAGGAGGAGAGUUCUGACGGGAGAAUGUCUAGUGCGUCCUCUACAUUCGGCUACUAAGCAAUUCCAACUUGGAGCAGAAAGGCCAAAUCACAGUUUUGACACAGAUGCAAAAAAUUUUGAUUACGGGAACUGCUGUCAAGUUCCCCUGGGUUGUGCAGGGAAGAUGGGGUAAUACGCCCAAGGCCAUCUUACCUGCACAAG